UGGGGAAUAUUGCACAAUGGGCGCAAGCCUGAUGCAGCCAUGCCGCGUGUAUGAAGAAGGCCUUCGGGUUGUAAAGUACUUUCAGUCGGGAGGAAGGUGUCAAGGUUAAUAACCUUGGCAAUUGACGUUACCGACAGAAGAAGCACCGGCUAACUCCGUGCCAGCAGCCGCGGUAAUACGGAGUGUGCAAGCGUUAAUCGGAAUUACUGGGCGUAAAGCGCACGCAGGCGGUUGAUUGAGUCAGAUGUGGAAUCCCCGGGCUUAACACGGGAAUUGCAUCUGAUAAUGGUCAGCUAGAGUCUUGUAGAUGUGGGUAGAAUUCCAUGUGUAGCGGUGAAAUGCGUAGAGAUGUGGAGGAAUACCGGUGGCGAAGGCGGCCCCCUGGACAAAGACUGACGCUCAGGUGCGAAAGCGUGGGGAGCAAACAGG
rnacentral:rRNA from 1 species